rnacentral:rRNA from 1 species
AAUGGACGUAAGUCUGACGCAGCAACGCCGCGUGAGGGAUGAAGCACUAUGGUGUGUAAACCUCUGUAGAGAGGGAAGAAAGUUAGAUACUUAAAGGUAUGUAUUUGACGGUACCUCUAAAGUAAGCUCAGGCUAACUCCGUGCCAGCAGCCGCGGUAAUACGGGGGGAGCAAGCGUUGUCCGGAAUCACUGGGCGUAAAGGGCGUGUAGGCUGGUUGGUAAGUCAGAUGUGAAAGGCUGCGGCUUAACCGUAGAUGUGCAUUUGAUACUGCUGAUCUUGAGUGCGAGAGAGGGUAGCGGAAUUCCCAGUGUAGCGGUGAAAUGCGUAGAUAUUGGGAAGAACACCGGUAGCGAAGGCGGCUACCAGGCUCGUAACUGACGCUAAUGCGCGAAAGCGUGGGGAUCAAA